AGAGUUUGAUCCUGGCUCAGAUUGAACGCUGGCGGCAUGCCUUACACAUGCAAGUCGAACGGCAGCGCGGGGCAACCUGGCGGCGAGUGGCGAACGGGUGAGUAAUAUAUCGGAACGUACCCUGGAGUGGGGGAUAACGUAGCGAAAGUUACGCUAAUACCGCAUACGAUCUAAGGAUGAAAGUGGGGGAUCGCAAGACCUCAUGCUCCUGGAGCGGCCGAUAUCUGAUUAGCUAGUUGGUGGGGUAAAGGCCUACCAAGGCAUCGAUCAGUAGCUGGUCUGAGAGGACGACCAGCCACACUGGAACUGAGACACGGUCCAGACUCCUACGGGAGGCAGCAGUGGGGAAUUUUGGACAAUGGGCGAAAGCCUGAUCCAGCAAUGCCGCGUGAGUGAAGAAGGCCUUCGGGUUGUAAAGCUCUUUUGUCAGGGAAGAAACGGUGAGAGCUAAUAUCUCUUGCUAAUGACGGUACCUGAAGAAUAAGCACCGGCUAACUACGUGCCAGCAGCCGCGGUAAUACGUAGGGUGCAAGCGUUAAUCGGAAUUACUGGGCGUAAAGCGUGCGCAGGCGGUUUUGUAAGUCUGUCGUGAAAUCCCCGGGCUCAACCUGGGAAUUGCGAUGGAGACUGCAAGGCUAGAAUCUGGCAGAGGGGGGUAGAAUUCCACGUGUAGCAGUGAAAUGCGUAGAGAUGUGGAGGAACACCGAUGGCGAAGGCAGCCCCCUGGGUCAAGAUUGACGCUCAUGCACGAAAGCGUGGGGAGCAAACAGGAUUAGAUACCCUGGUAGUCCACGCCCUAAACGAUGUCUACUAGUUGUCGGGUUUUAAUUAACUUGGUAACGCAGCUAACGCGUGAAGUAGACCGCCUGGGGAGUACGGUCGCAAGAUUAAAACUCAAAGGAAUUGACGGGGACCCGCACAAGCGGUGGAUGAUGUGGAUUAAUUCGAUGCAACGCGAAAAACCUUACCUACCCUUGACAUGUACGGAAGCCACGAGAGAUCGAGGUGUGCUCGAAAGAGAGCCGU
rnacentral:rRNA from 1 species